GUGCUCAUUUCGGCAGCACAUAUACUAAAAUUGGAACAAUACAGAGAAGAUUAGUACGGCCCCUGUGCAAGGAUGACGUGAAUUUGUGAACCAUCCCAUAUUUAA
rnacentral:snRNA from 1 species